CCUACGGGAGGCUGCAGUGAGGAAUAUUGGUCAAUGGACGAGAGUCUGAACCAGCCAAGUAGCGUGAAGGAUGACUGCCCUAUGGGUUGUAAACUUCUUUUAUAUGGGAAUAAAAUGUUCCACGUGUGGGAUUUUGUAUGUACCAUAUGAAUAAGGAUCGGCUAACUCCGUGCCAGCAGCCGCGGUAAUACGGAGGAUCCGAGCGUUAUCCGGAUUUAUUGGGUUUAAAGGGAGCGUAGGUGGAUUGUUAAGUCAGUUGUGAAAGUUUGCGGCUCAACCGUAAAAUUGCAGUUGAAACUGGCAGUCGUGAGUACAGUAGAGUUGGGCGGAAUUCGUGGUGUAGCGGUGAAAUGCUUAGAUAUCACGAAGAACUCCGAUUGCGAAGGCAGCUCACUGGACUGCAACUGACACUGAGGCUCGAAAGUGUGGGUAUCAAACAGGAUUAGAUACCCCAGUAGU
rnacentral:rRNA from 1 species